UCAAACUUGGUCAUUUAGAGGAAGUAAAAGUCGUAACAAGGUUUCCGUAGGUGAACCUGCGGAAGGAUCAUUAACGAGGUAGGGCCUCCUCCGGGAGCCCGAACUCCCCACCCUUUGCUGUUGCGAACAAGUUGCUUCGGCGGGACCCCCCUCCUCGCGGGGGGGACCGGGCGCGAGCCCGGGCAGCGCCCGCCGGGGGACCAAACCAACUCUUUUGUCGAACAAUGCAGUCGGAGUACAAUCGUACAAUCAAAACAAAACUUUCAACAACGGAUCUCUUGGUUCUGGCAUCGAUGAAGAACGCAGC
rnacentral:misc_RNA from 1 species